GGAAGUAUCCUGGCUUUGAAUUGGUUUCUGUCUUUGGUUACCUAGCUGUAUGAGUAUAACUAAUGUCAUAAAGCUAGACAACCGAACGUAUAAACCAGUUCCUCCAUCUUCACAGCAGAG
rnacentral:precursor_RNA from 14 species